rnacentral:rRNA from 1 species
UAUGGUUGUGCCAGCAGCCGCGGUAAAACGUAGGUCACAAGCGUUGUCCGGAAUUACUGGGUGUAAAGGGAGCGCAGGCGGGAAGACAAGUUGGAAGUGAAAUCCAUGGGCUCAACCCAUGAACUGCUUUCAAAACUGUUUUUCUUGAGUAGUGCAGAGGUAGGCGGAAUUCCCGGUGUAGCGGUGGAAUGCGUAGAUAUCGGGAGGAACACCAGUGGCGAAGGCGGCCUACUGGGCACCAACUGACGCUGAGGCUCGAAAGUGUGGGUAGCAAACAGG